UACAGAGGGGGCAAGCGUUGUUCGGAUUUACUGGGCGUAAAGGGCGCGUAGGCGGCCACCGCAAGUCGACUGUGAAAUCUCCGGGCUUAACCCGGAAAGGUCAGCCGAUACUGCGGGGCUAGAGUGCAGAAGGGGCAACUGGAAUUCUUGGUGUAGCGGUGAAAUGCGUAGAUAUCAAGAGGAACACCUGCGGCGAAGGCGGGUUGCUGGGCUGACACUGACGCUGAAGCGCGAAAGCCAGGGGAGCGAACGGG
rnacentral:rRNA from 1 species